AAAUGAAUUGACGGGGGCUCACACAAGCGGUGGAGCAUGUUGCUUAAUUCGAGGCAACGCGAAGAACCUUACCUGGGUUUGACAUGCUUGGAUUAACUCCUUGAAAGAGGAGCCACACCCUCUGGGUGGAACAAGCACAGGUGCUGCAUGGCUGUCGUCAGCUCGUGCUGUGAAGUGUCAGGUUAAGUCCUUUAACGAGCGCAACCCCUAUCGUUAGUUGCUCACGGGUCAUGCCGAGUACUCUAGCGAGACUGCCGGUGUCAAACCGGAGGAAGGUGGGGAUGACGUCAAGUCCUCAUGGCCCUUACAUCCAGGGUUGCAAACGUGCUACAAUGGUGCGCACAAAGCGACGCAAGAGCGCAAGCUGGAGCAAAUCGCAAAAAACGCACCCCAGUUCGGAUUGCAGGCUGCAACUCGCCUGCAUGAAGUCGGAAUCGCUAGUAAUCGGAGAUCAGCUACGCUCCGGUGAAUGUGUUCCUGAGCCUUGUACACACCGCCCGU
rnacentral:rRNA from 1 species